ACUUAGCCAACUUGUAAGUCGCUCUGGAUAAGAGCGUCUGCUAAAUGACGUAAA
rfam:Salmo salar isolate Sally breed double haploid chromosome ssa10, whole genome shotgun sequence.